rnacentral:rRNA from 1 species
UGGCGGACGGGUGAGUAACGCGUGGGCAACCUGCCCUGUACCGGGGGAUAACAGCCGGAAACGGCUGCUAAUACCGCAUAAGCGCACGAGAGCGCAUGCUUUUGUGUGAAAAACUCCGGUGGUACGGGAUGGGCCCGCGUCUGAUUAGCUUGUUGGCGGGGUAGAAGCCCACCAAGGCGACGAUCAGUAGCCGACCUGAGAGGGUGACCGGCCACAUUGGGACUGAGACACGGCCCAAACUCCUACGGGAGGCAGCAGUGGGGAAUAUUGCACAAUGGGGGAAACCCUGAUGCAGCGACGCCGCGUGAGUGAGGAAGUAUUUCGGUAUGUAAAGCUCUAUCAGCAGGGAAGAAAAAAUGACGGUACCUGACUAAGAAGCACCGGCUAAAUACGUGCCAGCAGCCGCGGUAAUACGUAUGGUGCAAGCGUUAUCCGGAUUUACUGGGUGUAAAGGGAGCGCAGGCGGUACGGCAAGUCUGAUGUGAAAGCCCGGGGCUCAACCCCGGUACUGCAUUGGAAACUACCGGACUGGAGUGUCGGAGGGGUAAGUGGAAUUCCUAGUGUAGCGGUGAAAUGC